GGAUCCAGACUUUGAUUCUGGCUCAGAGUGAACGCUGGCGGCGUGCUUAACACAUGCAAGUCGAACGAUGAAGCUCUUGCUUGCAAGAGUGGAUUAGUGGCGCACGGGUGAGUAAUGUAUAGCUAACCUGCCCUUCAGAGGGGGACAACAGUUGGAAACGACUGCUAAUACCCCAUACUCCUUUCUAUCAUAAGGUAGAUUGGGAAAACUCCGGUGCUGAAGGAUGGGGCUGUAUGGUAUCAGUUAGUUGGUGGGGUAAUGGCCUACCAAGGCAAUGACGCCUAGCUGGUCUGAGAGGAUGAUCAGCCACACUGGAACUGAGACACGGUCCAGACUCCUACGGGAGGCAGCAGUGGGGAAUAUUGCACAAUGGGGGAAACCCUGAUGCAGCAGCGCCGCGUGGAGGAUGACGCAUUUCGGUGUGUAAACUCCUUUUAUCAGUCAAGAACAUGACGGUAGCUGAUGAAUAAGCACCGGCUAACUCCGUGCCAGCAGCCGCGGUAAU
rnacentral:rRNA from 1 species